CCUACACUUCUUCCUGGCUGCGUAAUAUUCGUACAGGCUUUUGAUUGGUUUAUGUCAGAGGGCGAAAGUUACGACAUCUAGUCGAGACGCGAUCACGUGGUUUGCUGGAAGGGUAACGUGGGUCCCACUCUCUACUGCAACUCUGUGGGUAACUCUCUUUGGUACAGCCAGUACUGGGCUGAAAAAGCCAGUAAUGGAAAUGGCUGCAAAACGGGCUGAGUAGAUUGGAGCUACCCAAAGUAUGGCCCAUUGAAAAAUGGCAAAAGAGUCCAUCAGGGUGUACUCCACCACUGCCCUGAGCAGUCACUGUCUUCAGACAGGACCAGGUCACCUAGUCAAGACGAGACCCACACCACAUAUAACAGUGACUGACACACACCACACACACACAUACACACACACAUCGUAGUAAUGGUGUUCGUCACUGCAUGGUUUCUGAUCUUGCAAAAAAACCACCAUUUCUAGUCAGAAUCGGAUCACUUCUGUGCCAGAACUUGAACCAUUGAACUAUUGAACCAUCAUAAAUCAGUACUGGGAGCGGCACAACUAUAGUUAGUUCACAAGUUUGGUGAGUUUUGUUGCUUCUGUCUUGGAUUGGAAUCGGGUUACCUCUCAGCAUGAAAAGGUCUGUUAGACCAUCAUGACUCAGUGCUGGGAGGAGCACAGCGAAUAUCCUCAUAUUCAUUCAGAAGCUCUUUACCUGGAGGUUUCAUACAGCAGGAUGAAGAUAUUCGUUGUAACUGGAAUUCUUCUGUACGUUUCCCAGCAAGCUUUGGGUGUGGAGGUGUUUGACGGCAUGGAGUUGGUACAACUGCCCUGUCAGGUCAAUGUCUCUGUUUCCAUGGAGUCCACGGUGGUGUGGAGCCGUGAGGAACUGAGGAGUGUCGGCUGUGCUGCUGAUAGGAGGAACUGUUUCUAAAGGGCUGCAGGACAUGUCAGACCCUCUUGCGGCACAUCAGCAGCAAACACGAUGAGCACCCCCCGUCACUUCCUGCUAUCAAGAGAAGGAGAGCUCAUUUGGUCAUUCUACAGUACAUGCAUUUUUGUAAAUAUGAAUAUUAAAACACAACUUGCCUACAUGAUUACUUAAUAGAUGGUUUAUGAUGAGUGUGCUAUAAACCCUGCAGGCAUCAGACAGUUCAACAAAAAUGAUGUGUGGACCCUGGACCUAAUCGAGCUGGAGAAAGUAAGUCACCUUACAAACAAACAUCAUUGAAGUGAAAUAUUAUAUUUAUAUUUAUAGACAGACCAACACAAAGUAUGGUGGAAGGAAAACACUGCAUGGCCUAACAGAUUUUCCUCCAGGAUGACCCUUAGCACCAUCCAGCUUCUCUGUCCCUGCUAAAAAACAAAAAUGCAUUCCCACACCAUGAUGCUGCUACCACCGUGUCUUUACUGUCAAGAAUGGUGUGCUCAGCAUUGAGCUGCACAGUUUAUCGAAUCGCAAUCAUAAAAGCAAUUUCAAUUAGGUUAAUAUUGCAACCACAAAGGACUGGUUGGAUGCCAUAUAAGGUAGGAUAUUGUAUUUUAAUUGAGCUGCAUUCACAGUCAACAGGUUAAUAAUAUGUUUGGUGAAGUUGUUAGACUCCAACUGCCCUUUAUGCUCAUAAUCAAAGCAAUGUUUAAUGUCUGAGAUGCUAAAUCUCACAGAGCCUUGUGGGGACAUUUAAAUGACAGAAAGAAAAAAAAUAAGAAAAUGGUUGUUUAAUCAUAAUAUUCAGCAACAGUAUUGAAUUUGCAUGUUUAUCUGCUGCCAUGCAGCCUCAGUCCAUGGUGAGAUUUUGCAGGUAGACUAUUUGAACAUACUUUAAAUGGUUACACUUGCACGCGCUGUGCCUUCCUCUUCAUGAUGCUGUUUGUUCUCUAACAACACCUGACAUAACAGCUGUGUUUAUCCUGACAUUAAGUUACACACCGGAUUUUAUUUAGGGUAUCAGAGUUAAGAAAUCUGAAUACAAAUACCUCAUUGUUGUCAGGUUUUUCUUUGCAAAAGAUUUUGAAACCCAUGUAUUAUUUUCCUUCCACUUCAGUGUUGACCUAUGACACAAAGUCCCAGUGAUAUGCAUUGAAGGGUAUGAAUACAUUUGCAAGCCACUGUAUGUGUUUGUAAGUUUUUUGACUUUUCAGGUCCUACUGAAACCGAAAUAACAGACAUUUCAUGGGAACUAAAACAUGUUUCUUUCUCUCCAGGGAGGAAUAUGUUGCCUAAUCAGGAGCUCUGAGUGGAAGCUAACGCAUCAUUACCUUCAGUGGAAAUUUCAAACUACCAGUAUACAAACCUUGUUUUUUUUUUUUUUGUUUUUUUUUAUAUUUAGUGAGUAAAAGACUUUUCUUUUUAAAACUGAAGUCUAAGAGCAAAGGGUACAAAAAAAUCAGAAAUAACAGGUUUAAACAUUCCACUGAGAUGAACAGUACGAGUUUUUAGAAGAAAUAUUUCUGUAAAGUUUUAAGAUGAAUGCUUUUAUUGACCACACCUUAAGCCUUACCAAUGUGUUCACAGACCAGACCCUGAGUCCAGACCCUGAUGUGGGGGUAAUUUUUAGCUUACCAUGCUCUGCAGACAAUGUGGGUCUAUUGUUACAUCUUAGAGAAUGCUUAAGAUACAUUUGUAAACUUUGGGUGAAAAUUGAAUCAUCUAGAAUUUAACGAUUCCUGGUAGAUGUAUGUAAAAACUGCUAAUAAGACAGCUUAGUCACUUAAGACAUCUCCACCAAUUUCUACUUUAGCGGUUUUGGUCUUUUAAUGCCCAGGUUUAACUACUGUCUGUCAAUUCAGACCCAUAUUGGGGAUUUUACCUGCUUUGACAACCAUACAAUUUAUGGUCAUUUUCUAAGAUCUCCUUUUGGUCUAAUGUAAGAAAAUAUGGUUUUAAGGCUUCCAUUAAUCAGAUGUCACUCAGAGUUAUUUCAGUUUCAUUAUGGGUUCUAAUCUGUCAUAUUUUAUAGGAAUCAACAGACCAAAACAGAAAUCAGAACGAAGUUAUUGGAAAUAUGGCGUAUUAGAAAAUCUCUAGAAAAAAGGUGUCAGACAAAAUAAAAUCAUCCAUGAGAUUUGAAGCAUUUCUCCGAUUAUGUAUCUCCUUAAUUUUUAAAAUUGCUGAAUUAGCAAUAGAAAUAAACCGAUAAGCUGUUUUAAAGAAAAUAGGUCCCAAAUGUUCUCUUUAUAGAAACGAAACGGAAGUAAGAUGGUCUGAUACAAAAUUAGCUUAUGAGAUGACAAAGUAACAAACUGAUCAAAACACUCUUUUUGCCACAUAAUGUGGAAGGUAAACAUCUGUAAUAUUCAGAACAAAAUAUAUUAGAGGUUUUUUUUAAGUUCUGGAUUCCUACCAAUCAUGGUUUAGGGAUAUUAACCCUAACCUAAACAGCUAUAACACAUAAAUGGAUAAAUAAUGGAUCGUCACAGUUUUUGUCAGGAUUUCACCUAUUUAAACUUAUUUUAUGCAACAAGGAACAAGCUGCAUGAUACUCUCAGUAUUCUGUAGCAAAUACAAAGCAGACGUCAAGGGUGUGAACAGUUUCAUCCUUAAGCUGAACAGAAAAAGCAAAAUAGAGGCUUUAAUCUUUGUUGUAAAAGUGUUGGCCAUGUUGGGACAAAGAUCUU